CAGAAGGGGUUAUUAAUUUGCAUUUGAAUACAGCCCAACACAGUUGCUCAGUGUUACUGCUGGGUAAUGGGAAAAUUAAGCUAAAAGGGAGUUAGCAUAUGGAAAAGAAAUGUAGGUGAUGCUGCGAAAGCAGACUGCAGUUGUGGUGAAUUAGUGCCCACAGCUGCUACACAGGAUGCUUUACUGCUCUCGGGGCAGGUAGCACUGCAAAAGUAAAUAUUGCUUUUUACACACAUUAUUACACAGUGCAGAGUGGCUGGAGAAAUAAAAUAAACCGAGAGGAAUAAGAAAAAAAGCAGAGGAAAAAAAAAAAAAGAGAGAGAAAAAAACAUCAUAAUCUUGAAAGCUUUAGACAGAUAGAAUACAUUGAGAAGGGAACUGCCAUUUGUGCUCCAACAACCUUUAGCAAGGGUCUGUUGUGAGUGGACAAGGGGAAAUAGUCUCAAACUAAAACAGGAGAGAUUUAGACUGUGUAUAAAGAAAAAGUGUUUUAUAAUGAGGGUAGUAAAGCACAAGAACAGGUUGCCCAGAGAUGUGGUGGAUGCCCCAUCCCUGGUGACACUCAAGGUCAGGCUGGAUGGGGCUCUGAGCACCUGAUCCAGCUGUAGGUGUCCCUGUUAUUGCAGGAGAGUUGGACUAGGUGACCUUUGAGGAUCUCUUCAAACUCAAACAAUUCUACAAUUCUAUGAUUCUGUGAAAACAGGUUCUAUGCUCAGCACUGGAAGUUUGUCUCUUAUAUUAUGUCUGGGUAGUUUCAAAGUGGAUUUAACCAGGGACUAGGGAUACUACAGCUCUUCCUACAUGUGCAUGUGCAUUUAGAGGGCUGUGUGUCAGAGCCAUGCCGUCUGCACCCUCUGUCCUGACUCCAAGCUGAGUGGUUUCCUCCUUUACAUUCACAUACAGGCAACAUUUUAAAAUCAACAUUCAGCACCCUCAAAAAACUUUAAGUCUUCCAAAUAAUUACAAGAUAAAAAAGAAGUCAUUUUUCUUGGUACCUUUACCUUUUUCAUUUUCUAACCCUUUUUGGCAUGACAUGACUGAGUACUUCCAUGUCAUUGACCAUGGUACAAUAUAGUUUUAAAUAUAUAAGCUUAGAUGCUAGUAGCAGCUUGGCUGCAGAAGAAUUUUGACAAGACAGAAGAUCUCAUCUGUAAAACCUGGCAAAUCAGGUCA
ensembl:lncRNA